AACGAACGCUGGCGGCAUGCCUAACACAUGCAAGUCGAACGAGACCUUCGGGUCUAGUGGCGCACGGGUGCGUAACGCGUGGGAACCUGCCCUUAGGUUCGGAAUAACUCCCCGAAAGGGGUGCUAAUACCGGAUAAUGUCUUCGGACCAAAGAUUUAUCGCCUUUGGAUGGGCCCGCGUUGGAUUAGCUAGUUGGUAGGGUAAAAGCCUACCAAGGCGACGAUCCAUAGCUGGUCUGAGAGGAUGAUCAGCCACACUGGGACUGAGACCCGGCCCAGACUCCUACGGGAGGCAGCAGUGGGGAAUAUUGGACAAUGGGCGAAAGCCUGAUCCAGCAAUGCCGCGUGAGUGAUGAAGGCCUUAGGGUUGUAAAGCUCUUUUACCCGGGAUGAUAAUGACAGUACCGGGAGAAUAAGCACCGGCUAACUCCGUG
rnacentral:rRNA from 1 species